CUCCUCCCUUGAUAGCUAGGGCCCUACCAAAUUCAGGGUCCAUAUUGGUCAAUUUCAGGGUCAUAGGAUUUUAACAAUUGUAAAUGUAAUGAUUUCAACUAUUUAAACAUGAAAUUUCACAGGGUUGUAAUUCUAGGGGUCCUGACCCAA